UCUCGGCCUUUUGGCUAAGAUCAAGUGUAGUAUCUGUUCUUAUCAGUUUAAUAUCUGAUACGUCCCCUACCCGGGGACCAUAUAUUAAAUUGAUUUUUGGAACUGGGAGAUGGAAUAGGGGCUUGCUCCGUCCACUCCACGCAUCGACCUGGUAUUGCAGUACCUCCAGGAACGGUGCACCCCCCCUCUCAUUGUGAAAGUUAAACUGGAUGGUAUCAGAAGAGGAUGCAUGCUUUAAAUGCAGUCACAGAGGUUUUCACUGUGGUCUUAAGCUGCAGCGUUUAUGCUCCUUGUUUUAUGAGCUAGACGUUAUUCAACAAGGGAAUAUAUCCGUUUAUUAAGUCCUUACACUGAAUCUAGUUCUGCUCAUUUCACAAAGAAAAACCAACGUUGUUCACACUCCAGAGCAAUAGGUGGCAGUAGCAGGAAUGCCCAUCAGCAGUAAACAAAGAAACAGGAGAUCAGCUUUCCAUGUGGGACUACCGCACUGCAUGAUGGGAAAUAAAACCAUUAUUUAUCAACUAAAAUGUUAAUAAUCCGCCUUACCAUAAUUUUGUUUUUAUCUGUAUUAAAUAUCUGCAGAUUCACACGCACUUCUUAUAGCCUCUGGUUUUGGUCAUUUAUAGCUUGUGAUCACCAUAAGCCAACAGUGUAUGUCUCUGAAUGACUCCCCCGUCUCUGAGCUGUACAACUCAUACUUACCUGGCAGGGGAGAUACCAUGAUCAAGAAGGUGGUUCACCCAGGGCGAGGCUCAGCCAUUGCACUCCGGUUGUGCUGACCCCUGCGAAUUCCCCAAAUGUGGGAAUCUCGACUGCAUAAUUUCUGGUAGUGGGGGACUGCGUUCGCGCUCUCCCCUGA